UGGGGAAUAUUGCGCAAUGGGCGAAAGCCUGACGCAGCGACGCCGCGUGAGGGAUGAAGGCCUUCGGGUCGUAAACCUCUGUCGGGGGGGAAGAAACCAUUCGGGUCGAACAGGCCUGUUUGCUGACGGUACCCCCAAAGGAAGCACCGGCUAACUCCGUGCCAGCAGCCGCGGUAAUACGGAGGGUGCAAGCGUUAAUCGGAAUUACUGGGCGUAAAGCGCACGUAGGCGGUGACGUAAGUCAGACGUGAAAGCCCUCGGCUUAACCGGGGAAUUGCGUUUGAUACUGCGUUGCUUGAGUGUCGGAGGGGGUGGCGGAAUUCCAGGUGUAGGAGUGAAAUCCGUAGAUAUCUGGAGGAACACCGGUGGCGAAGGCGGCCACCUGGCCGACAACUGACGCUGAGGUGCGAAAGCGUGGGGAUCAAACAGG
rnacentral:rRNA from 1 species